GCUCGGUCACUCCUUUCCCCAAACUCUGAGGUUGCACGUUGUCCUACUGAAAGCAAUUAUCUCCAUUAUUCUGCCUGUGGGCUUGUGGGUUUCACGUUAGGGGAAAAAAAAUCUUCAUUUUUUUACCUGAAGUCUAAUAACUAUAACUAUAACCAUUUGCACAUUUAACCACAGGGUGUGACAUUUAUUUUCUCUCAUUCCCUGCUCAUGUCCGUUCCCUUGCUGUGCAGCACAAAGGAAUGACAGAACUGGAGCGUGUUCCCGGCUACCCAUUGUGCCAGCCAUCUUUUGCUUCAGUAUAUGGGCUGAGAAACUUUUGCACAAUGAAGCUACAGUGUUUUCCAGUUUGAACAUCAAUCAACAUGCUUAAAAUACCUUAUACCAUCACCAAACAAAGAUGCCUCUGUUCUUGACUGCUGGUUCAGAAAUCCCCUCAGAACUGCUGGGAAUGGAGAAAAACAUGUCCUGUGUCACGCAAACCCCAGAGAUCUCACUAGAGCUGCCUGCCAGAAGUCAUCAUCAUCAUUGCAAUUGAACUCUCAGGAUCCGUCAUCACAUCAAGUGGACGAGAACAAUACCCCUGCAGCUGCAGAAUCAAAACACG
rnacentral:lncRNA from 1 species